rnacentral:rRNA from 1 species
UAACGUUACCAAACUGUUGCCUCGGCGGGAUCUUCUGCCCCGGGUGCGUCGCAGCCCCGGACCAAGGCGCCCGCCGGAGGAAUCAACCAAAACUCUUAUUGUAUACCCCCUCGCGGGUUUUUUUUAUAAUCUGAGCCUUCUCGGCGCCUCUCGUAGGCGUUUCGAAAAUGAAUCAAAACUUUCAACAACGGAUCUCUUGGUUCUGGCAUCGAUGAAGAACGCAGCGAAAUGCGAUAAGUAAUGUGAAUUGCAGAAUUCAGUGAAUCAUCGAAUCUUUGAACGCACAUUGCGCCCGCCAGUAUUCUGGCGGGCAUGCCUGUCCGAGCGUCAUUUCAACCCUCGAACCCCUCCGGGGGGUCGGCGUUGGGGAUCGGCCUUCCUUCACGGGGGCCGUCUCCGAAAUACAGUGGCGGUCUCGCCGCAGCCUCUCCUGCGCAGUAGUUUGCACACUCGCAUCGGGAGCGCGGCGCGUCCACAGCCGUUAAACACCCAACUUUCUGAAAUGUUGACCUCGGAUCAGGUAGNNNNNCCCGCUGAACUU